rnacentral:rRNA from 1 species
UACGAGUGCCCCGAGCGUUAUCCGGAAUCAUUGGGCGUAAAGGGUGCGUAGGCGGUGAAAUAAGUUGGAUGUGAAAUCCCGGAGCUUAACUCCGGAACUGCAUUCAAUACUGUUUUGCUAGAGUACUGGAGAGGAGAUUGGAAUUCACGGUGUAGCAGUGAAAUGCGUAGAUAUCGUGAGGAAGACCAGUGGCGAAAGCGGCGCACUGGACCAUAACUGACGCUGAUGCGCGAAAGCGUGGGGAGCAAACGGG